rnacentral:pre_miRNA from 1 species
AGCCGUGGCCAUCUUACUGGGCAGCAUUGGAUGCUGUCUGAUCUCUAAUACUGCCUGGUAAUGAUGACGGCGGA